GAUGAACGCUAGCUACAGGCUUAACACAUGCAAGUCGAGGGGAAACGACAUCGAAAGCUUGCUUUUGAUGGGCGUCGACCGGCGCACGGGUGAGUAACGCGUAUCCAACCUGCCCAUCACUUGGGAAUAACCUUGCGAAAGUAAGACUAAUACCCAAUGACAUCCCACGAAGACAUCUGAAUGGGAUUAAAGAUUUAUCGGUGAUGGAUGGGGAUGCGUCUGAUUAGCUUGUUGGCGGGGUAACGGCCCACCAAGGCAACGAUCAGUAGGGGUUCUGAGAGGAAGGUCCCCAACAUUGGAACUGAGACACGGUCCAAACUCCUACGGGAGGCAGCAGUGAGGAAUAUUGGUCAAUGGGCGAGAGCCUGAACCAGCCAAGUAGCGUGCAGGAGGACGGCCCUAUGGGUUGUAAACUGCUUUUAUAAGGGAAUAAAGUGGGUCUCGUGAGACUUUUUGCAUGUACCUUAUGAAUAAGGACCGGCUAAUUCCGUG
rnacentral:rRNA from 1 species